UACGGAGGGUGCGAGCGUUGUCCGGAAUCACUGGGCGUAAAGGGCGCGUAGGCGGCCUGGCAAGUCGAUGGUGAAAGCCCGAGGCUCAACUUCGGGUCGGCCACUGAUACUGCUGGGCUUGAGUCGACUAGAGGCAGAUGGAAUUCCGGGUGUAGCGGUGGAAUGCGUAGAGAUCCGGAAGAACACCGGUGGCGAAGGCAGCAAACUGGGCAUCAACUGACGCUGAGGCGCGAAAGCGUGGGUAGCAAACAGG
rnacentral:rRNA from 1 species